GAACCAAGCGAAGAGCUAUUGAGGGCUAGAAUGAAAUAUCGUAUGUAGUGUAGAAUCAAAUCUGAAGCUCUGUACUAAGAUUGGAACAAGCAAAGAACAAGUGACCACUGACCACAAGCGGAGCUUAAGCGCUCGACAUGCAGUUAGCUCAAAACAUGUUCAUCAUGUGGCCGAGCGAAGCGCACCUGUGUGAAGCAGCCUAGCAUCACUUUAGAUAGAAGCAGAAUGGAUGACUUACAACUGAAAGUAAG
rnacentral:lncRNA from 1 species